rnacentral:lncRNA from 8 species
AUGGAACAGGAAGUGAUGCGCAUAUACUCCUCCCCCCCCCCUCCGCUGGACAACGAAUCAGGGGGAGAGGAGGUUGAUGACGAGUUUGGGGAUUUCUCUGGGGGUGUGGCAAUGUCAUCCAACCAGCCGUGCCCCUCCACAACAGACCCCGCCUCCCCAACCCCAUCAACAGUGCGCUUUAGUGUUAGUAACUCCUCCUCUUUCGCCGGAACUACCCAUAGCAACGGAAUCUCAAAACAGUUCCGAGCAGCUGACGACCUGAAGAAGCCACGGGCGCCGGUGGUGGACCAAUCACAGCCCGCUAAUACUGGGACCUCAGAGAUUGGCAGGGUUCGGCCGGGGUCGGAGUUCAAAGGGCAGCCCUGUCAUUGCAACCUCCCUGACCUCCCUCUCACCAAUGGGUUUACCAAUCGACAUCACCAGGGAACUAUGUCUGCAGGUCUUGUACCGGCUGGGCAGAGCUCCCCCAGCCAGGAGCAGGGGUUUGCAGAUUUCUCUGCGUUCGCCGAGCCAGAGAUGGAGCUGGAGCCCUGGUGCUGUGGCUUCACUCACAGUACAGAGCACAGGAAGGACGUCAGAACAGAAGGGACAAACCUAACCAACGGUUUCUGCAAUGCACACUCAGUCCAGAAGGACAUAGAGCAGAUGGCCAGAAUAGAGCCUGGCGGGCCUGACUCUCAAUGUUUAGCAGAGCAAGGGGAGAGGGACUGCACUGGAGUCCAGCAACACUGUAAGCUAAGGGGCCACCCUCAGGACUCUGGCCUCUUAGCCACCACAGAGGUGCUCUGUGUUAGGGGUGAGGGCCUGGAGGAGCCUGGAGAGAGGGCACCCAGCAUCAACAGGGAUAGCACGCUUACACAGGACCCAGAACUGGGAGGGAGGAGGGUGGAGGAGGAGGAAGAUAAGGAGAGUGAAACAGAGGACAGCGUCUCUCCUCUCCCCACCACAGUCAGUGGGUCAGUGAGUGAGGAGUUUGCCUCCUUUUGUGAGGCUGUGUCAGAUGCUUUGGAGGAGUUUGGGGACUUUGGCGAGACGGUCUUCACUCCCUUGUCAAUAGGGGAGGAGGAGAAGGAGAAAGAGGAGGUGCAGCGGAGUGACCUCAGGGAGGAGACCGAGACAAAGAUGGUGGAGGAGGAAGAUGAAGAAGAGGACUUUGGAAACUUCAGGGAUGCUGGAUCCUUCCCUAGCCAGGAGGACUUUGCUGACUUCAACCAAUCGGAGUCCAGAACACAGGAGGGCUUCGGCGACUUUGACCAGGACUAUUCUGAGGACCCAGGUCCGACCCAGGCGUGUGGGGAGGAGGUUGGACAUGGAGACCUUCCCCUCAGCGACAGCUUUGCAGACUUCCACUCUGCUCCCCUGGAGGGCUGGGGGGCGUUUGGGGACCAGAGAGGUCUGUCAGAGGGGGAGACCUGGGCAGAGUUUGGAGAGGAGGAUAGACCCAGGUGGACAGAAGAGGCGGAGGUGAAGAAAGGGGGAGAGAGAUGUCAGGGAGGUGCUGCUGUACGAAGGGACAGUCUGCAGGCCUCCGUGUCUAUCCGGCUACAGAGAGUCCUGCAGACCAGCUUCCCUGCAGUGGCAGUCCCAGAACUGGAUCAAGAGGGGGAGGAGACUGGGGUGGAGGGGGAGGAGACUGGGCUGGAGGGGGAGGAGACUGGGCUGGAGGGGGAGGGGACGGGGCUGGAGGGGGUGGAGACGGCGCUGGAGGGGGAGGAGACGGGGCUGGAGGGGGAGGAGAUGGGGGUGGAAGGGGAGGGGACGGGGGUGGAGGAGGACAGUGGGGUGGAGGAGGACAGUGGGUUGGAGGUAUUGAAGGUACUCAGCCUCAGGGCUUUGUUAGAGACUCUAGACACCCAGCCUGAGGAAGAGGAGUCGAAGGGGCUCAACCACACUACACACUGGUGAGAGAACCUCUAGUGAUGAAGAUGAUUAAAACAAUGACGAUGAUGGUGGUUCAGUGGAAUAACAGCCGAUAGCAUUGGAGGCUGGCCAAAGCACUACUCUGCUGUAUGUGACCGCCUCCUUGUUUUGCUUUACCCAGGGUUCCUAGGGGUGUGUGGCGGCAGCCUCAGGACCUCCACGAUGCCGUGGGCCUGGGGUUCUAUUGGGGCGGUUCCCAUAGCAACAGGGCCCUGCUCCGCUGUCUGGGGAUAGACACCAGGAACAUGGUAACGGCCUCUUUUCAGUUUAAAGCUACACUCUGUAAUUAUGUGAAUGGCUCCAUGCAUAGCAGAGUGAGCCACAGCCACCUCAACAGAAUAACAGCAGAUGUAAACAAACAGUAAGAAAAUGGAUGGAUGUCAUUUCACAUGACUUUAUAACAUCUACAUGUAUAGAGCUCAGUGAAUGACUUUCCAUUAGAGAAACAUAACUAAAUAAAACAUGAAGCCAUCUGUCUAUGACAACAACAGCAUCAACGAUGUAGUAAGUAAUGUGUCUGUCUGUCCGUAAGCCCCUCCCUCCCCAUAUUACCAUAUUGUACAUCAUCUACUGUAAAUGUGUCUAUAUAUCCCCUUUACUAUGUAGAAGUGCUCUGUUGUUGCUGUGUCUAUAGUGUACAUACUGUAUGUGGGUUAUGUCAAUUCUUCAUCUAUAAUAUAAUAUAAUGUUAUUCUGUUUAUUGGUGGAAAAGCAGCACCAUUUCACCAGCUUGAAUUCCUGCUACAUGUAAAGUUACUUGGUGAUUUCUGAUUCUGUCUCUCCUCCACAGUUGUUCACUGGCCAGAGAAAGCAGCCUGUCAUAGUUCCAGUGUUUGCAACCAGCCUGGUGAGUGGACUGAUGGAGAUACUGUUCUAUGUCCCAAAUGGAACCCUAUUCCCUGUAUAGGGCACUACUUUAGACCAGGGCCCAUAUGGACACAGUCCAUGGUGGCCCUAGUUCCAUUUCUGUCCCUAGAUCCUCCCCCUAAGCCUGGGUACCAGUCAGUUUGUUCCGUCAUGCCUCUCCUGGCCACUUGUUUUCAGGCCAAACAUGACCAGGAGUUGACAUGAUAGCACAAACAGAUCUGGGACCAGGCUACCUUCCCUUAGCCUUGUAUGCUGAUAGCCCCUUAAUGUUCACAGAUCUGAAAAUACUGGGUAGGUGUAAAGCAAUAAGAUGAUGACUCGACUGUUGGCCAUAUUGCUUUCUCCCUCUCCAAACCUUUCAUCAUGUGACAUGUGUUCCAUGGUGACCUCUUUCUUUCUCUGCCACUCCCUUUCCCAUUCACCUUUGAUUCC